GAACCCAUGGCUGCGGGCUGUGCUGAGGUCAUAGUCAGGCCUGAAAGGACUCGCUGAGCAUGACAAUCAAGUGGAAGAGGGUCUUGCAAUUGCACUUGUCCCUGAGGGGGGCCCUUGUCCUUGCCACCUUGGUUCUUGCUCAGGCUGCUGGGGCUGAGGCCUGAGGUCUGGGAUGGGGAGAGAGCCUUCAGUAUGUGGGCCGCCCUCCUGUCAGAACAGUGUUUGUCGUCUCCUGCUAUCUUACGCCUGGGAUCUGCCUUACUCAACUCCCACUUCUACCAGGAGCAGAGGAUCACCGCUGCCCAGCACCCCGCCCAUCUGAAUUCUGACUCUGGUGGCUUCAGAGAAGCAAGCAGAAGCAGUUUGCCCAGCCCUGACAUGGAAAGUUUACUUUGCUCAUCAACCUGAAGGAGACCGAAAGCUAUGAGAGGCGGCUCCUGAAAAGAAUCUAGACUCCGGAUAUAAAAAGAUCUUGCAACACAAGGCCAAGUGGAAAUCAUGGUUCGCAUUAAAGGCAUAAACCUCCUGCACUAACAACCCAGAGCAGGAGGAAAA
rnacentral:lncRNA from 10 species